rnacentral:lncRNA from 1 species
CCUUAGGGUCGCGCACGCUGGGCCACUUCCUUUCUCGGCAGCGCCGUAGAGCGCGAGCAGACGGUGCAGCAUGGCGCACAGCGGAGGCCGCGGGCGGCCGAACCCGGCGUGUCCUUGGGCGUUUCCAGGUGCAACAAACUCAUUUGAAGGUGCUUGAACAAAUAUUUUCUAAACACUUGUCAUGGAGAGUGAUUGAAACAAGCUGCCAGGACUACAUUUGCCAAUAACAAGCAUGUAGGUGGCUGUAGUGGAUGUCCAACUUUGGGAGCUGUGAUGUCUAAAAACCCUUUAUUGUUUUGGGUGCAGCUUACAUAUUGGAAGGUAAAAUGAAGGCCAUGAACAAAGUCAAGAAGCCAUAAACAGAAGCAAAUGGUG